ACCUCAGAGCAGGCGAGAUCACCCGCUGAAUUUAAGCAUAUUAAUAAAGCAG
rnacentral:rRNA from 1 species